rnacentral:rRNA from 1 species
UUAAAAUGUUAAUUUUUGAACUAAAGUAGUAUUAGUUAUGUUCUUUAAAUUUAAAGAUUUUGGCGGUAUUUUAGUCUAUUCAGAGGAACCUGUUCUAUAAUUGAUAGUCCACGAUUAACUUUACUUAAAUUUAAAAGUUUGUAUAUCGUUGUUUAUAGAAAAUUUUUUAAGAAAAAUAAAUUUUUAAUAAAUUUAAUAAAAUUAUAAAUCAAAUCAAGGUGCAGUUUAUAUUUAAGAAGAAAUGGGUUACAAUAAAAUUAUUUAAAUGAAUUUAAAUUUUAAAAUUUUUAAUGAAAGAGGAUUUGAUAGUAAUUUUAUUUAUUUUAAUAAAAUGAUUUUAGCUCUAGAAUAUGU